UCUUCAUUACACGUGCUCUCUCCCCGGUCAGAGAGUCGAGAGAGCACGCGAAAUGAGGAGA
rnacentral:pre_miRNA from 1 species